rnacentral:tRNA from 1 species
GGGAAUGUAGCUUAGUGGUAGAGUGCUUGCCUAGCAUGCAUGAAGCCCUGGGUUCGAUUCCUCAGCACCA